AUCCUACUCUUAACCUCUGUUGUUCCUAGAAUUCAUUCUUCCAUUUUAGAGAACUCGAACUCAUGUUUCAGAUACCUAGCAGGUUUGGGAGUUACAUCUCUUCCCCCUAUAUCAAUCCUAGUAUAGUACUCAGAAGGAUGAUCAUUACGAAUUUGAUCAUUACUGAGUUCAAGGAUGGUUGUAAAGAGUUCGAGACCAGCCUGAACUACAGAGUGAGACCCUGUCUUAAGAAACAAAGAACCAAGAUACAUCCUGUAAUGGUACAAGGUCCUAAUAAUGAAUGUAAUUGUAUUGUAUACCUAAAAUGUACCAAUAAUAAACUAAAUAAAAAAAAAAAGAAACAAGCUCACAAACAAAUCAAAAGGGAAGUGAAAUGUCUCCUAUUUAUGUCUAAUGAGUCAGACAUUAUAUCUGUGUAUCUGUGGAAAUGCCUUUUGUCUUUCUCCCUCUUCAUUUUCAUGUCCUCCUAUAGUAGUGCCCACGCAUCACCUCUCCCAUAGAAGACUGCAGUGACCUCGUAAUUGAUGUGUUUUCCUGGUAUCCAGCUCCAUACCACUGACAGGGCCAUCUUCUCAAAACUCUUCUCUCUGUUCAUCUUUCCUCAGCUGUUCCAAAACAACUCCCAGAAUGGGUCAGGACAAUUUUCUUUUGUCUCUUACAAGGCCAAGGUUAACUUUUCUUGGGCUCUUGCUCAUUUCCAACACCUCAAAGCAACUUUUAGUUUAAGCUGUUACCAUUUCCUGGAGCUCACCUGGGUCCCUGUUUUCUCUCCCUUCUCUCAUUUGAGGACAAUAGCUGUUGGUUUGGUAGUUGAUUACAUGUUAAAUAGUUAUCUUCUUUCUCAUGUGUCAAGAAUUUUAUACUGCACAAGUAAUGGGUAUAUCUUCAUGUGACAUACUACAUUAGUCAGCACAUGACAUCAGAAAAAUACUAUUGAAUUGAUUGUAUCUAAAUAAUUAUCAUGGACCUAUUUAAUCUGACAACUCAUUACCAAAGCUUCAAGAUGCUGAAAGUUAAAUCAGGCCAUUGGUUCUUUUCCUGAACCUGGUAAAUUUUCUAAAUCAUCUUUACCCUUUUUUAUUUUUUUUUCACUUCAGAUUAUGUGAUCGUGUGAAAAUAAUUUAACACCAUAAUGUCUUAAAUAGAAUAUGAUGGUAAACUUAGAUAAAACCCCCAACUUAAAUCCAUGUGUAUUUAUUUGCAAUGAAAAGAAACAUUUCCAGGUUAUUAUCAUUUUAAAAAUUACUUCUGAGUCUCCAAACAAGGGUUAUUAAAAAUAUAGGAAACUUAUUCAUACCUCCUCUUACUCUACCACCUAGGAAAAUCUCUUUUAAUCUCUCUGAACAGAUGAGAUAAAAUAAAUUAGAGGCCCAUGUGCUUUUGCACAUUUAAUUUUUAAAAAAUAUAAGUAAAUUUAUCCCGAUUCCACAUAUACCAAAUAUCAAUUAAAGUGCAAAUAGAGAGAGAAAUUAGAUCGAGAUCAAGGGUUUUUCUCCAGUCCACAAAAGGGCCACAUCCAAUAGAACUGACAAACACUGAAUAUUUCUGUGAGCUGCAUUAUUUCAGAAGUCCAUGACAUAGUGUAUCGAUUGGGUCUGACCUCAUUAAGAACAGUACUGAUCACAGUACUGGUCUACCUUUAGUUUAAAAGGACUUUUAAAAAAAAUCCUAUUUGACUUCCAUAGAAACUCACUGAUAGGGUUGACAGGUUUUUCUUACUCCCUAGCCCUCUUCUACUGAAACUUUUGACUCUAUUGCUCUCUGCAGCAGCAAGGCUGGGGUGUAGGCUCUCUGACCAGGGCCUGGCUAGGGCUGAAGCCCAGCAUGAGUCUCUGGAAGGUCCUGACCUUCAGAGGCAGCUAAGCUCUUCUGCCCCUUGCCCCUCUCUCUUCUCUCCACAGCUUAUUUCACCCCCCUGAGCCAUGCCGUCCUCACUCCCCCAUUACUUUUUAAGAUAUAAAACUAUGCAGAAUCAGGUAUUUCCCUACCAUUGGGCUGGCAGGCUAUGGCAGCGAGAGCCAGGCUGUUCUGCUGGCGGCAGCAACAAAGGAAGGUUCAUGGCUGGAACUCAAAACUCACUUCCCCAUGGAAACUGUGGUGUACUGUUAGGUACAUUCUAUAAUUUGUUUAGAACUUCAGAUGAGAUGCAUGGCUCAAAUGGACUUUGGUCAGUUCUCCUGACUUGUACUGAAAGAUGGCUCUGAGUUCCUAACAAUCAUCCAUACAUUAUCUUCAUACAGAGGGAGCCUCAGGGGAUAAGCCUAAAUUGUUUGUCUGCUGUGGAUCCCAUUGAGAGGCUGUGCUCACCCCUCAAGGCUCCUGAGCUGUGAGGGAAGCCAGGAUUCCUGAGAGUGAGCAGCCCCAAAGGGAAAUGACAGGCCUGAGGGCUGCCACAAAGUAAGCAGUUGUUCUCUGCAAUGCCCUUCCACCAAGAUGUUCCUGCCUAGACCCAGCCGGUCAUGGGCUAAACUUCUGAAUUUGUGAGCCCUAAUAAACCUCUCUUAGCUUUA